rnacentral:rRNA from 1 species
GAUGAACGCUGGCGGCGUGCCUAAUACAUGCAAGUCGAGCGAACAGACGAGGAGCUUGCUCCUCUGACGUUAGCGGCGGACGGGUGAGUAACACGUGGAUAACCUACCUAUAAGACUGGGAUAACUUCGGGAAACCGGAGCUAAUACCGGAUAAUAUAUUGAACCGCAUGGUUCAAUAGUGAAAGACGGUUUUGCUUUCACUUAUAGAUGGAUCCGCGCCGCAUUAGCUAGUUGGUAAGGUAACGGCUUACCAAGGCAACGAUGCGUAGCCGACCUGAGAGGGGGAUCGGCCACACUGGAACUGAGACACGUUCCAGACUCCUACGGGAGGCAGCAGUAGGGAAUCUUCCGCAAUGGGCGAAAGCCUGACGGAGCAACGCCGCGUGAAUGAUGAAGGUCUUCGGAUCGUAAAACUCUGUUAUUAGGGAAGAACAAAUGUGUAAGUAACGAUGCACGUCUUGACGGUACCGAAUCAGAAAGCCACGGCUAACUACGU